UGGGGAAUAUUGGACAAUGGGCGAAAGCCUGAUCCAGCCAUGCCGCGUGUGUGAAGAAGGUCUUCGGAUUGUAAAGCACUUUAAGGUGGGAGGAAGGGCAUUAACCUAAUACGUUAGUGUUUUGACGUUACCGACAGAAUAAGCACCGGCUAACCCUGUGCCAGCAGCCGCGGGCAUACAGAGGGUGCAAGCGUUAAUCGGAAUUACUGGGCGUAAAGCGCGCGUAGGUGGUUUGUUAAGUUGGAUGUGAAAUCCCCGGGCUCAACCUGGGAACUGCAUUCAAAACUGACUGACUAGAGUAUGGUAGAGGGUGGUGGAAUUUCCUGUGUAGCGGUGAAAUGCGUAGAUAUAGGAAGGAACACCAGUGGCGAAGGCGACCACCUGGACUAAUACUGACACUGAGGUGCGAAAGCGUGGGGAGCAAACA
rnacentral:rRNA from 1 species